GACGAACGCUGGCGGCGUGCUUAACACAUGCAAGUCGAGCGGUAAGGCUCCUUCGGGAGUACACGAGCGGCGAACGGGUGAGUAACACGUGAGCAAUCUGCCCAUCUCUUUGGAAUAAGCGUUGGAAACGACGUCUAAUGCCGAAUACGACCUCCUUUCGCAUGAUCGGAGGUGGAAAGCUCCGGCGGAGAUGGAUGAGCUCGCGGCCUAUCAGCUAGUUGGNGAGGUAACGGCCACCAAGGCGACGACGGGUAGCCGGCCUGAGAGGGUGACCGGCCACACUGGGACUGAGACACGGCCCAGACUCCUACGGGAGGCAGCAGUGGGGAAUAUUGGACAAUGGGCGAAAGCCUGAUCCAGCAACGCCGCGUGAGGGAUGACGGCC
rnacentral:rRNA from 1 species